GACGAACGCUGGCGGCGUGCCUAAUACAUGCAAGUCGAGCGAAUCAAUAGGAGCUUGCUCCUGUUGGUUAGCGGCGGACGGCUGAGUAACGCGUGGGAACAUGCCCCAAAGUGAGGAAUAACUGCCCGAAAGGGUGGCUAAUGCCGCAUAUGAUCUUCGGAUUAAAGGAUUUAUCCGCUUUGGGAGUGGCCUGCGUAUGAUUAGGUAGUUGGUGAGGUAAUGGCUCACCAAGCCGACGAUCAUUAGCUGGUCUGAGAGGAUGACCAGCCAGACUGGAACUGAGACACGGUCCAGACUCCUACGGGAGGCAGCAGUGAGGAAUAUUCCACAAUGGGCGAAAGCCUGAUGGAGCAACGCCGCGUGAAGGAUGAAGGCCCUCGGGUUGUAAACUUCUUUUAUAAGUGAAGAAUAUGACGGUAACUUAUGAAUAAGCACCGGCUAACUACGUGCCAGCAGCCGCCGUAACA
rnacentral:rRNA from 1 species